AGUGGCGUACGGGUGAGUAACACGUGGAUAACCUGCCCUUUAGUGGGGAAUACCGCUGGGAAACCGGCGACAAUACCGCAUAAGCUCGAGAGAGGAAAGCAGCAAUGCGCUGAAGGAGGGGUCCGCGGCCGAUUAGCUAGUUGGCAGGGUAAAAGCCUACCAAGGCUGUGAUCGGUAGCCGGCCUGAGAGGGCACACGGCCACACUGGCACUGAAACACGGGCCAGACUCCUACGGGAGGCAGCAGUGGGGAAUCUUGCACAAUGGGGGAAACCCUGAUGCAGCGACGCCGCGUGAGCGAUGAAGCCCUUCGGGGUGUAAAGCUCUUUCGGCAGGGACGAUUAUGACGGUACCUGCAGAAGCAGCUGCGGCUAACUACGUGCCAGCAGCCGCGGUAAUACGUAGGCAGCAAGCGUUGUUCGGAGUUACUGGGCGUAAAGGGUGCGUAGGCGGCUUUUUAAGUUUGGUGUGGAAUCUCCCGGCUCAACUGGGAGGGUGCGCCGAAUACUGAGAGGCUAGAGUGUGGGAGAGGAAAGUGGAAUUCCAGGUGUAGCGGUGAAAUGCGUAGAUAUCUGGAGGAACACCGGUGGUGUAAACGGCUUUCUGGACCAUUACUGACGCUGAUGCACGAAAGCGUGGGUAGCAAACAGGAUUAGAUACCCUGGUAGUCCACGCCCUAAACGAUGCAUAUUUGGUGUGGGCCAUUCAUUUGGUCCGUGCCGGAGCUAACGCGUUAAAUAUGCCGCCUGGGGAGUACAGUCGCAAGGCUGAAACUCAAAGGAAUUGACGGGGGCCCGCACAAGCGGUGGAGCAUGUGGUUUAAUUCGA
rnacentral:rRNA from 1 species